rnacentral:rRNA from 1 species
GGACCCGACUGCUAUCAGAGUGGGAAUAAGCCAUGCGAGUCAACAUAGCAAUAUGUGGCAUACGGCUCAGUAACACGUAGUCAACAUGCCCAGGGGACGUGGAUAACCUCGGGAAACUGAGGAUAAACCGCGAUAGGUCAUCACUUUUGGAAUGGGUAAUGACUUAAAUCUAUAUGGCCCCUGGAUUGGACUGCGGCCGAUCAGGCUGUUGGUGAGGUAAUGGCCCACCAAACCUGUAACCGGUACGGGCUUUGAGAGGAGGAGCCCGGAGAUGGGCACUGAGACAAGGGCCCAGGCCCUAUGGGGCGCAGCAGGCGCGAAACCUUUGCAAUAGGCGAAAGCUUGACAGGGUUACUUUGAGUGAUUUCCGUUAAGGAGAUCUUUUGGCACCUCUAAAAAUGGUGCAGAAUAAGGGGUGGGCAAGUUUGGUGU